UACGAAGGGGGCUAGCGUUGCUCGGAAUUACUGGGCGUAAAGGGCGCGUAGGCGGACAGUUUAGUCAGAGGUGAAAGCCCAGGGCUCAACCUUGGAACUGCCUUUGAUACUGACUGUCUUGAGUUCGGGAGAGGUGAGUGGAAUGCCGAGUGUAGAGGUGAAAUUCGUAGAUAUUCGGCGGAACACCAGUGGCGAAGGCGACUCACUGGCCCGAUACUGACGCUGAGGUGCGAAAGCGUGGGGAGCAAACAGG
rnacentral:rRNA from 1 species